AGAGUUUGAUCAUGGCUCAGAUUGAACGCUGGCGGCAGGCCUAACACAUGCAAGUCGAACGGUAACAGGAAGCAGCUUGCUGCUUCGCUGACGAGUGGCGGACGGGUGAGUAAUGUCUGGGAAACUGCCUGAUGGAGGGGGAUAACUACUGGAAACGGUAGCUAAUACCGCAUAAUGUCGCAAGACCAAAGAGGGGGACCUUCGGGCCUCUUGCCAUCGGAUGUGCCCAGAUGGGAUUAGCUUGUUGGUGGGGUAACGGCUCACCAAGGCGACGAUCCCUAGCUGGUCUGAGAGGAUGACCAGCCACACUGGAACUGAGACACGGUCCAGACUCCUACGGGAGGCAGCAGUGGGGAAUAUUGCACAAUGGGCGCAAGCCUGAUGCAGCCAUGCCGCGUGUAUGAAGAAGGCCUUCGGGUUGUAAAGUACUUUCAGCGGGGAGGAAGGGAGUAAAGUUAAUACCUUUGCUCAUUGACGUUACCCGCAGAAGAAGCACCGGCUAACUCCGUGCCAGCAGCCGCGGUAAUACGGAGGGUGCAAGCGUUAAUCGGAAUUACUGGGCGUAAAGCGCACGCAGGCGGUUUGUUAAGUCAGAUGUGAAAUCCCCGGGCUCAACCUGGGAACUGCAUCUGAUACUGGCAAGCUUGAGUCUCGUAGAGGGGGGUAGAAUUCCAGGUGUAGCGGUGAAAUGCGUAGAGAUCUGGAGGAAUACCGGUGGCGAAGGCGGCCCCCUGGACGAAGACUGACGCUCAGGUGCGAAAGCGUGGGGAGCAAACAGGAUUAGAUACCCUGGUAGUCCACGCCGUAAACGAUGUCGACUUGGAGGUUGUGCCCUUGAGGCGUGGCUUCCGGAGCUAACGCGUUAAGUCGACCGCCUGGGGAGUACGGCCGCAAGGUUAAAACUCAAAUGAAUUGACGGGGGCCCGCACAAGCGGUGGAGCAUGUGGUUUAAUUCGAUGCAACGCGAAGAACCUUACCUGGUCUUGACAUCCACAGAACUUUCCAGAGAUGGAUUGGUGCCUUCGGGAACUGUGAGACAGGUGCUGCAUGGCUGUCGUCAGCUCGUGUUGUGAAAUGUUGGGUUAAGUCCCGCAACGAGCGCAACCCUUAUCCUUUGUUGCCAGCGGUCCGGCCGGGAACUCAAAGGAGACUGCCAGUGAUAAACUGGAGGAAGGUGGGGAUGACGUCAAGUCAUCAUGGCCCUUACGACCAGGGCUACACACGUGCUACAAUGGCGCAUACAAAGAGAAGCGACCUCGCGAGAGCAAGCGGACCUCAUAAAGUGCGUCGUAGUCCGGAUUGGAGUCUGCAACUCGACUCCAUGAAGUCGGAAUCGCUAGUAAUCGUGGAUCAGAAUGCCACGGUGAAUACGUUCCCGGGCCUUGUACACACCGCCCGUCACACCAUGGGAGUGGGUUGCAAAAGAAGUAGGUAGCUUAACCUUCGGGAGGGGGCUUACCACUUUGUGAUUCAUGACUGGGGUGAAGUCGUAACAAGGUAACCGUAGGGGAACCUGCGGUUGGAUCACCU
rnacentral:rRNA from 1 species